rnacentral:rRNA from 1 species
UGGGGAAUAUUGCACAAUGGGGGAAACCCUGAUGCAGCGACGCCGCGUGAACGAAGAAGUAUUUCGGUAUGUAAAGUUCUAUCAGCAGGGAAGAUAAUGACGGUACCUGACUAAGAAGCACCGGCUAAAUACGUGCCAGCAGCCGCGGUAAUACGGAAGGUCCAGGCGUUAUCCGGAUUUAUUGGGUUUAAAGGGAGCGUAGGCGGAGAGAUAAGUCAGCGGUAAAAUCGUGCGGCUCAACCGUACCUCGCCGUUGAUACUGUUUUUCUUGAGUGCACACAGGGAUGCUGGAAUUCGUCGUGUAGCGGUGAAAUGCUUAGAUAUGACGAAGAACUCCGAUCGCGAAGGCAGGUGUCCGGGGUGCAACUGACGCUGAGGCUCGAAAGUGCGGGUAUCAAACAGGAUUAGAUACCCUGGUAGU